GCUGGCGGCGUGCUUAACACAUGCAAGUCGUACGAGAAAUCUUCAGCUUGCUGAAGAGAGUAAAGUGGCGCACGGGUGAGUAACGCGUGGAUAAUCUGUCCUUGAAUCGGGGAUAACAUUGCGAAAGCGAUGCUAAUACCGGAUGAUAUCAUAAAGGCUUCGGCCUUAAUGAUCAAAGAUGACCUCUACCUGUAAGUUGUUGUUUGAGGAGGAGUCCGCGUACCAUUAGCUUGUUGGUAGGGUAACGGCCUACCAAGGCCACGAUGGUUAGCUGGUCUGAGAGGAUGAUCAGCCACACUGGAACUGACACACGGUCCAGACUCCUACGGGAGGCAGCAGUGAGGAAUUUUGCGCAAUGGGGGAAACCCUGACGCAGCAACGCCGCGUGAGUGAUGAAGGCUUUAGGGUCGUAAAGCUCUGUCAAGUGGGAAGAACCUAUCCGGAAUUAAUACGUUCGGGUACUGACGGUACCACUGAAGGAAGCACCGGCUAACUCCGUGCCAGCAGCCGCGGUAAUACGGGGGGUGCAAGCGUUAUUCGGAAUCAUUGGGCGUAAAGGGCACGCAGGCGGCCUGGUAAGUCAGAUGUGAAAGCCCGGGGCUUAACCCCGGAAGUGCAUUUGAAACUAUCAGGCCUUGAGUAUGGGAGAAG
rnacentral:rRNA from 1 species